GCGGAGCUGAAUUGAGGUGCGGUUUGAAUUUCGCGGUCGAAAUUCUUUUUAAGGGGUGGAGAAUGUAACAUACCAGAUUUUGAUAUAAAAAUAAAAAAUAAAUAAAAAUAGUGUGAGAUACUAUUUUUAUUGGAUUUAGAGAAGUAAAAUAUAAGUCAAAAAUGACUUGUGCUGAAAUCGGAAUGAAAACAGAAGAUUUAGAAUUUUCUAUUGGAAACGGGACAGAUAAAUUAGCAGAAAAUGCACAGUGUCAGAAAAUUAUGAAAACUGGAGGAUAAGUCAGAAUUAUUUUUAUGAGGCUAGAUUUAAAGUUUCAUGUCAUUCUGACACCCGGAAGGUGGGAAAGUAAAAUCCGACGACUAUCUGAUAAAGAUUACAGUUCGGUACAGUUUUCGGUGACCAAACGGGGUCGAAACUGAAAUAUUAAAAUUUCUUUGUACUUAUUAAGUAAAACCGAGCCUGCCUGUCAAAUUUCAGAGCAAACUGACAUUCAGAAAGGCUCCGGCAAAA
rnacentral:lncRNA from 1 species